CCCUUAGAUGUUCUGGGCCGCACGCGCGCUACACUGAUGCAUUCAACGAGUCUAAAACCUGCCCUGAUAGGGGUGGGUAAUCUUUUGAAUGUGCAUCGUGAUUGGGAUAGAUGAUUGCAAUUUUUCAUCUUCAACGAGGAAUGCCUAGUAAACGCAAGUCAUCAGCUUGCAUUGAUUACGUCCCUGCCCUUUGUACACACCGCCCGUCGCUCCUACCGAUUGAAUGAUCCGAUGAAUAUCAUGGAUUGAGGAUUAUAGCAGGUUCGCCUGUCUUGAUCUUCGAGAAGUGAAGUAAAUCUUAUCAUUUAGAGGAAGGAGAAGUCGUAACA
rnacentral:rRNA from 1 species